rnacentral:rRNA from 1 species
GACGAACGCUGGCGGCGUGCCUAAUACAUGCAAGUCGAGCGGACUUUCAAGAAGCUUGCUUUUUGAAAGUUAGCGGCGGACGGGUGAGUAACACAUGGGCAACCUGCCUGUAAGACGGGAAUAACUCCGGGAAACCGGUGCUAAUACCGGAUAAUAUCUUUCUUCGCAUGAAGGAAGGUUGAAAGGCGGCGACAGCUGCCGCUUGCAGAUGGGCACGCGGCGCAUUAGCUAGUUGGUGAGGUAACGGCUCACCAAGGCGACGAUGCGUAGCCGACCGAAGAGGGUGAUCGGCCACACUGGGACUGAGACACGGCCCAGACUCCUACGGGAGGCAGCAGUAGGGAAUCUUCCGCAAUGGACGAAAGUCUGACGGAGCAACGCCGCGUGAGCGAAGAAGGUCGUCGGAUCGUAAAGCUCUGUUGUCAGGGAAGAACAAGUACCGUUCGAAUAGGGCGGUACCUUGACGGUACCUGACCAGAAAGCCACGGCUAACUACGUGCCAGCCGCCGCAGUAA